GGGAGAUAGAAGGUGAUAGGAGGAAGAUGAACAUGGAGGGAGAUAGAAGGUGAUAGGAGGAAGAUGAACAUGGAGGGAGAUAGAAGGUGAUAGGAGGAAGAUGAACAUGGAGGGAGAUAGAAGGUGAUAGGAGGAAGAUGAACAUGGAGGGAGAUAGAAGGUGAUAGGAGGAAGACGAACAUGGAGGGAGAUAGAAGGUGAUAGGAGGAAGAUGAACAUGGAGGGAGAUAGAAGGUGAUAGGAGGAAGAUGAACAUGGAGGGAGAUAGAAGGUGAUAGGAGGAAGAUGAACAUGGAGGGAGAUA